UGUGGAGGGGAAGAGGCUCACUUCGGUCCAGUCCGAGACAGUUGAAGAGGGCUGAGACUCAGCUGCUGACUCGUUGGUUCGAGAGCUCAUCAUUAAAAUGUAGCAACAUGCAUGGUGUGCUUCUGAUCCAACGAUGCGGGAGCUGUGUUCAGUUAUCACUGUCAUGUCUUGGACUGAAGGGGCCUCUUCAUUUCCAUUGU
rnacentral:pre_miRNA from 1 species